CUACGUGCCAGCAGCCGCGGUAAUACGGAGGGUGCGAGCGUUAAUCGGAAUAACUGGGCGUAAAGGGCACGCAGGCGGCUAUUUAAGUGAGGUGUGAAAUCCCCGGGCUUAACCUGGGAAUUGCAUUUCAGACUGGGUAGCUAGAGUACUUUAGGGAGGGGUAGAAUUCCACGUGUAGCGGUGAAAUGCGUAGAGAUGUGGAGGAAUACCGAAGGCGAAGGCAGCCCCUUGGGAAUGUACUGACGCUCAUGUGCGAAAGCGUGGGGAGCAAACAGGAUUAGAUACCCUGGUAGUCCACGCUGUAAACGCUGUCGAUUUGGGGAUUGGGCCUUGAGCUUGGUGCCCGAAGCUAACGUGAUAAAUCGACCGCCUGGGGAGUACGGCCGCAAGGUUAAAACUCAAAUGAAUUGACGGGGGCCCGCACAAGCGGUGGAGCAUGUGGUUUAAUUCGAUGCAACGCGAAGAACCUUACCUACUCCUGACAUCCAUGGAAUCUUGUAGAGAUAUGAGAG
rnacentral:rRNA from 1 species